UAAUAAUACUAAUAACAAUAUGGGAAUUCAUAUAUAAAUAAAUUUAUUGUUAUAAUAGGAAAAAGAAUAGGUACGGGAUCACAGUCUCGCUCGUGAUAGGGUGGGGUUGUGACACAGUCUCUCCGAAACCAUAGCCAUCGUCCCUCUCUGAGUCUCUCCGAAACUCUAGCUUCUUCACCCUCGUGCCUCAUCGUCAUCCUCGUGCCGAUAUAUGGUGGUCUUGAUGUCUGCCACAGCAGAUAUUACACGAUACAAGGAUUACUUCCAGGAUCUUGGCAGGGGGAACGAGUUGAAGUGCUGUCUAGAUUGACUCUCUGCUGUAAACCACAAUUAUUUUUUGAAGGCCCUUCAGACUAUACAAGUCAAAUGCCCCAGGAUCUCUUUCUUCUUCCUCCUUUUUUGUCUCUCCAUUUCCUUUCAAUGCUUAAGAAAGAAACUGUAUU